ACGCCCGUGCCGCCCGUGCCGCCCGACGCAUUUUCUUUCCCGUCCGAAAAGGACGCCGCGACCGGUUCGGUUGCGGCCCGAAGGGCGAGAGCUGAGGCAGGUGGCCGGUGGCGUACUAAGCGGCGCCGCCGGUUGUUAGCCGUCUCGUCGCACGGCGCGUUGCCGGACCGUGGUUCUGGAGGACCCCCCCUUUCGGGGGGGUCCGAUCUCCGCCUCCCUCCCUUAAAAGGACGCGGGUUAGAAGCGGGCGACCCGUCUCGAUUCCCUUGCGGGGUGCACGGACGUACUCCGUGGCCCGUCGCAGGUGCGCGGUCGGCGGCGGUCGCCCGCGAAGGGCCCGUGGGAGUGGUCGGCGGUCGGCGGCGAGUAGAUCGGUCACCCACCCGACCCGUCUUGAAACACGGACCAAGGAGUCUAACAUGUAUGCGAGUCAAUGGGACUCGAAUAAGCCCGAAAGGCGUAAUGAAAGCGAUCUGUAAACGGGGCGCGCACUCGCUGCGCCCCACCUUGGUAAAAAGAGGUGUUGGGAUCCCCGCUCUCUCCGGGAGUUAGGGGCGCACCAGCGACCCGUCCUACCGUCCCGCCGUGUCAAAAGCGGCCGGGACUUGGGCGGAGUCCGAGCAUACACGUUGGGACCCGAAAGAUGGUGAACUAUGCCCGGACAGGACGAGGCCAGAGG
rnacentral:rRNA from 1 species